rnacentral:misc_RNA from 1 species
AAGUCGUAACAAGGUUUCCGUAGGUGAACCUGCGGAAGGAUCAUUAACACGUAUCCAACGUUAAACCCCCCGUGAACCUUCAUUGUGCUCCCCUGGUAAAUCAUCGCCGAACAGUUUUGAUUCAGGGACCUCUGCAUGGAGUGGGCAGCAGCGCGAGGCAAGUGGCCUGGCAUUCGAAAGAAUGGCGCAGUAACGAUCGCUAGAGGCCGACACGGCCGGCGACCGGGUCACUGGGCUCACGCCCCCCUAUCACCUUUGCAUGAAAACGGGCCUGCGCUUAAUUGUGCGGCCACCAAACUCGAACAACUGUUAACAAUGGAUAUCUUGGUUCUC